GGAGAGAUGGCCGAGCGGUUUAAGGCACCGGUCUUGAAAAACCGGCGAAGGGUCAAACCUUCCGUGGGUUCGAAUCCCACUCUCUCCGCCA
rnacentral:tRNA from 1 species